rnacentral:misc_RNA from 1 species
GAUGAAGAACGUAGCGAAAUGCGAUAAGUAAUGUGAAUUGCAGAAUUCAGUGAAUCAUCGAAUCUUUGAACGCACAUUGCGCCCCCUGGUAUUCCGGGGGGCAUGCCUGUCCGAGCGUCAUUACAACCCUCAAGCUCAGCUUGGUGUUGGGCCCCGCCGCCCCGGCGGGCCCUAAAGUCAGUGGCGGUGCCGUCCGGCUCCGAGCGUAGUAAUUCUUCUCGCUCUGGAGGUCCGGUCGUGUGCUUGCCAGCAACCCCCAAUUUUUUUCAGGUUGACCUCGGAUCAGGUAGGGAUACCCGCUGAACCUAAGCAUAUCAAUAAGCGGAGGA